CAGCCCCCUCAUCCUCCCUGAGGCAGCCCCAGUCCUGCGAGAGGGCACCCCACUGUCCCGACCCCGAGGGCGCGUGGAAGGGAAGGCCUGGGCUUGCGCCCACCUGGGCGGGCGUGGGUCUGGCAGACUCUCAGUGUCUUGCAGGUUGCCGGGAGCCACUUCCCUGGCUGGCGCUGGACCUACCGCAGGAGGACCUGGAGGAAGACGCCCCAGGAGCCAGCCUGUGGCCCACCACGGUCACCUUGCUCACCCUCUUCCUACUGAGUCUCUUCUACAGCACAGCGCUGACCGUGACAAGUGUGCGGAGCCCAGCCGACAGCAGAGAGGGCCCCCGGUACUGAGCAGAAGCCAGCCAGGCACACAGGGAGGAGGCUGGAGGAGCUUCUGGGAAGCCCAGCUGGAUGUCAGAGCUCAGCGCUGCUCAGAAACUGCCCGCCCACCCCCACACACAGGCCGUGCUGGCACAAUAAACUGAUCCCAAAGGCAAA